rnacentral:rRNA from 1 species
AACGAACGCUGGCGGCAGGCCUAACACAUGCAAGUCGAGCGCCCCGCAAGGGGAGCGGCGGCCGGGUGAGUAACGCGUGGGAACGUACCCUUUGCUACGGAAUAGCCUCGGGAAACUGGGAGUAAUACCGUAUGUGUCCUUCGGGAGAAAGAUUUAUCGGCAAGGGAUCGGCCCGCGUUGGAUUAGGUAGUUGGUGGGGUAAUGGCCUACCAAGCCGACGAUCCAUAGCUGGUUUGAGAGGAUGAUCAGCCACACUGGGACUGAGACACGGCCCAGACUCCUACGGGAGGCAGCAGUGGGGAAUCUUAGACAAUGGGCGCAAGCCUGAUCUAGCCAUGCCGCGUGAGCGAUGAAGGCCUUAGGGUUGUAAAGCUCUUUCAGGGGGGAAGAUAAUGACUGUACCCCCAGAAGAAGCCCCGGCUAACUCCGCG